rnacentral:rRNA from 1 species
GACGAACCGUACGAACGUUAUUCGGAUUUACUGGGCUUAAAGGGUGCGUAGGCGGCGCGGAAAGUUGGGUGUGAAAUCCCUCGGCUUAACCGAGGAACUGCGCCCAAAACUACCGUGCUCGAGGGAGACAGAGGUGAGCGGAACUUAGGGUGGAGCGGUGAAAUGCGUUGAUAUCCUAGGGAACACCAGUGGCGAAAGCGGCUCACUGGGUCUCUUCUGACGCUGAGGCACGAAAGCUAGGGUAGCGAACGGG